rnacentral:rRNA from 1 species
UCGGUGUGAGUAGAGCGGCGGACGGGUGAGUAAUGCUUGGGAAUCUGCCCAAUAGUGGGGGAUAACGUGUGGAAACGCACGCUAAUACCGCAUACGUCCUACGGGAGAAAGCAGGGGAUCUUCGGACCUUGCGCUAUUGGAUGAGCCUAGGUGGGAUUAGCUAGUUGGUGAGGUAAUGGCUCACCAAGGCGACGAUCUCUAGCUGUUCUGAGAGGAUGAUCAGCCACACUGGGACUGAGACACGGCCCAGACUCC